GACGAACGCUUUCGGCGUGCUUAACACAUGCAAGUCGAACGGAAAGGCCCUGCUUUUGUGGGGUGCUCGAGUGGCGAACGGGUGAGUAACACGUGAGUAACCUGCCCUUGACUUUGGGAUAACUUCAGGAAACUGGGGCUAAUACCGGAUAGGAGCUCCUGCUGCAUGGUGGGGGUUGGAAAGUUUCGGCGGUUGGGGAUGGACUCGCGGCUUAUCAGCUUGUUGGUGGGGUAGUGGCUUACCAAGGCUUUGACGGGUAGCCGGCCUGAGAGGGUGACCGGCCACAUUGGGACUGAGAUACGGCCCAGACUCCUACGGGAGGCAGCAGUGGGGAAUAUUGCACAAUGGGCGGAAGCCUGAUGCAGCAACGCCGCGUGCGGGAUGACGGCCUUCGGGUUGUAAACCGCUUUCGCCUGUGACGAAGCGUGAGUGACGGUAAUGGGUAAAGAAGCACCGGCUAACUACGUGCCAGCAGCCGCGGUGAUACGUAGGGUGCGAGCGUUGUCCGGAUUUAUUGGGCGUAAAGGGCUCGUAGGUGGUUGAUCGCGUCGGAAGUGUAAUCUUGGGGCUUAACCCUGAGCGUGCUUUCGAUACGGGUUGACUUGAGGAAGGUAGGGGAGAAUGGAAUUCCUGGUGGAGCGGUGGAAUGCGCAGAUAUCAGGAGGAACACCAGUGGCGAAGGCGGUUCUCUGGGCCUUUCCUGACGCUGAGGAGCGAAAGCGUGGGGAGCGAACAGGCUUAGAUACCCUGGUAGUCCACGCUGUAAACGGUGGGUACUAGGUGUGGGGUCCAUUCCACGGGUUCCGUGCCGUAGCUAACGCUUUAAGUACCCCGCCUGGGGAGUACGGCCGCAAGGCUAAAACUCAAAGGAAUUGACGGGGCCCCGCACAAGCGGCGGAGCAUGCGGAUUAAUUCGAUGCAACGCGUAGAACCUUACCUGGGUUUGACAUGGAUCGGGAGUGCUCAGAGAUGGGUGUGCCUCUUUUGGGGUCGGUUCACAGGUGGUGCAUGCCUGUCGUCAGCUCGUGUCGUGAGAUGUUGGGUUAAGUCCCGCAACGAGCGCAACCCUUGUUCACUGUUGCCAGCACGUUAUGGUGGGGACUCAGUGGAGACCGCCGGGGUCAACUCGGAGGAAGGUGGGGAUGACGUCAAGUCCUCAUGCCCCUUAUGUCCAGGGCUUCACGCAUGCUACAAUGGCUGGUACAGAGAGUGGCGAGCCUGUGAGGGUGAGCGAAUCUCGGAAAGCCGGUCUCAGUUCGGAUUGGGGCCUGCAACUCGACCUCAUGAAGUCGGAGUCGCUAGUAAUCGCAGAUCAGCAACGCUGCGGUGAAUACGUUCCCGGGGCU
rnacentral:rRNA from 1 species